rnacentral:rRNA from 1 species
CACUCCUGCGGGAGGCAGCAGUGGGGAAUUUUGGACAAUGGGCGAAAGCCUGAUCCAGCAAUGCCGCGUGAGUGAAGAAGGCCUUCGGGUUGUAAAGCUCUUUUGUCAGGGAAGAAACGGUGAGAGCUAAUAUCUCUUGCUAAUGACGGUACCUGAAGAAUAAGCACCGGCUAACUACGUGCCAGCAGCCGCGGUAAUAUGUAGGGUGCAAGCGUUAAUCGGAAUUACUGGGCGUAAAGCGUGCGCAGGCGGUUUUGUAAGUCUGAUGUGAAAUCCCCGGGCUCAACCUGGGAAUUGCAUUGGAGACUGCAAGGCUAGAAUCUGGCAGAGGGGGGUAGAAUUCCACGUGUAGCAGUGAAAUGCGUAGAUAUGUGGAGGAACACCGAUGGCGAAGGCAGCCCCCUGGGUCAAGAUUGACGCUCAUGCACGAAAGCGUGGGGAGCAAACAGGAUUAGAAACCCCUGUAGUCCCAUGA